rnacentral:tRNA from 1 species
GCAGCCGUGGCCGAGUGGUUAAGGCGAUGGUCUCGAAAACCAUUGGGGUUUGCCCGCACAGGUUCGAAUCUUGUCGGCUGCG